rnacentral:rRNA from 1 species
AUGCGCUGGGCACGAUUCGAACCCAUACGGGGGCAGAGGCGGUGGCGCGAGUUCGCAAGGGAACAUCUCUUCUUCUCCGAGGAAUGGCGCCGAUGGACCUCCAAGGAGCCAGUCCAUCGGAGGGAUGGUGAAGAUAGAUGGCGGCGGAGUCGUUGGUACGAUGUAGUCGUCGGCGACGGCCGGAGCCGGAGCCGAAGGCCCAGCAUGGUUUGCAGCGGUGGUCGGAGCCGAGGGUCCAGCCUGGUGCACCGUUGGUGCUCGCCCACGGAGCGGGCGGUUGCCUUGGCGUGCGUACCCACGGCGGCGGUUCUGGCGGUGGUUCCAGGCGAAAAAGCGGCGGCGAGGGCCACUCCUUGCGCCAAGUCCUUGACGGCGCCGGUGACUUGCAGCACGGUGGCGAUGGGUGCGUGGACAGCGACAGUUCUCUCUCUGGAGGAAGCGUGCAAUGGCGAAAGCAAUCGACGGCAGGUCCCUCCCUGCCAUUCUUACCUUUCCUGUGAUGGCUCUCUGUCGCUCUCGGCAGAGCGAGUACUGAUAACGUAUAAAGUGAAAAAGUGA